rnacentral:rRNA from 1 species
CCCUUAGAUGUUCUGGGCCGCACGCGUGCUACACUGACCGGCGCAACAAGCUUUUUUCCUUGGCUCGACAGGCCUGGGUAAUCUUCGAACGCCGGUCGUGAUGGGGAUAGAUCCUUGCAAUUUUUGAUCUUCAACGAGGAAUUCCUAGUAAAUGCGAGUCAUCAUCUCGCGUUGAUUACGUCCCUGCCCUUUGUACACACCGCCCGUCGCACCUACCGAUUGAAUGGUCCGGUGAAGCCUCCGGAUUGAACAGGCCCCGUGUCUGGCGCGAGAAGUUGGCUAAACCUUACCAUUUAGAGGAAGGUGAAGUCGUAACA